UCCUUUACGAUAACUAGAUCACCCACUU
rnacentral:sRNA from 1 species